ensembl:snoRNA U3 Small nucleolar RNA U3
AAGACUAUUCUUUCAGGGGCCAUUUCUAUAGUUUGUUACUACAGAAGUUUCUCUGAAUGUGUAGACCACUGGCAGAGAAAAAAAGAAAAU